UACGGAGGGUGCAAGCGUUAAUCGGAAUGACUGGGCGUAAAGGGCGUGUAGGCGGUUUACACAGUCAGAUGUGAAAUCCCCGGGCUUAACCUGGGAGCUGCAUUUGAUACGUGUAGACUAGAGUGUGAGAGAGGGUUGUGGAAUUCCCAGUGUAGAGGUGAAAUUCGUAGAUAUUGGGAAGAACACCGGUGGCGAAGGCGGCAACCUGGCUCAUUACUGACGCUGAGGCGCGAAAGCGUGGGGAGCAAACAGG
rnacentral:rRNA from 1 species